GGGUAAUAAUAAAAUCCCCAGCUAGUGAAAUAUGUGCACUGCCUCCUUCACUCACUGUCUCCUGUUUAAAGAGGAACGUACAGAGCAAAGGGACCCACAAAUUGCAUCAACCUAGCACCAGGGAUAGGACAAAAAACGGUGUUCUUUACUGUCCCGUAGCACUCUAGUAUGAAUUCAGCCCUAGUUUUGAAGAGCGACGCCCAUUGGGACUGAGAAACUGGUCGACAGAGCCCUUAGCCCUCAGUCACCAAGAAAUGGGGACUAGUGUGGGGGGCGUGGAAAGGCUGAGGGGGACGGCCUCCUCUAUAUUGCUGCGGGACAGAGCUGGCCUCCCUACGCUGGUACGCCCCCCGAGGGUUGAUAGAGACCUCGUCACUACUUUUUGGAUCUGAACAGGACAGACUUUGACUUCUGAAUCCGGGCCCAGGGUGAAGGCAGUGCAGCAGGUGAUGGUGCUGGCUCUCGAUGAGUGAAGUGGCCUUGCCCAUGUGCCCCUCUUCCGGAGUGCCCUGGUAAGAAAAGAAGAGAGACUGAGCAUGGAGCGGGUGGCUCUUCCUCUCUCCAUCCCUGUCACGUCUCCACGGAAGGUAGGCGUUGGAGCUGCCGGUUUUGGCCACGCGGAUCCUGGCAAGGCGGGCCUUCUGUGAUGGGCAGAGAAAAUCAAAGAGUGAGGUCUAAAGACAGCAAGCCUGGAGAAGUCGAUGCCAGUGGGCUCUCCCAGAGAGGCUGGGCGCGCAGGUGAUGUUCGACGCAGGGGAGGAAGCUGCUCGCUCCCAGCCCCGCCCGUCUCUGCUUAUAAACCCUGGGACCGGGCCUGAGAUGCUGUGUACCCGCCUUGUGCCACUCGGUCACCGGCAGAGUUCCUGGGUUUCCCAUGCAUCUCUCCAGCCGGGUGUCAUCCUGGCAGGAGAAAUACCACUUACCAAAGUCCUUCCUUCCAGACGUUUCAUGACCUUCAUCUGCUCACUGUCGUGUCGGUGUAUUUCUCAUCUCUAACUAGGCAGUGAGCUCUUUCAAGGAGCGAGGGUCACAGCUCUCCUGACUCUCUCCCAGGGUCCAGGGCUCUUCCCUGCGUACAGCAGGUGCCCAAACAUCGAUUAAUUAUGAGCGAAGCACGGAGUUCACGUGUGCCCCUCAAUACUUAA